rnacentral:tRNA from 1 species
UGGGUUCGAUACCCAUGAGUUCCACAAUAAGAUCCCUUACUGACACCAAAUUGCCCUUGUAGCAAACAGGUUG